UUUUGGAGGAUUGCGCUGUGUCCAACUUUGCUGCUUGCAGAGUGAAUGUUUCCUUAGCAAAGCUCCUGCUGUUUAACACUUUGGCUUUCCUGAAAUGUUAUGGAAUGAAUUGGAGUAAGCCUGGUGAAGUCAGGCUAUAAAAAUGCUUUCAUGUUGAAAGAAACAGAUUGCUUUGCAGUUGCUCAUCCCAAUUAUCUGAAAUAAGUGCUAAGAGCAGCCUUUGUCAGGCAGAUAUUGGAAGAGGAUGGGGAAAACUACCUCUGACUAACUGCUUAAAGGUAGCAGUUGAAACAUACCGGGUGAUAGAAGCAGGAAAAUGGUCGGGAACAUUUGCUAUCUGAUAAACAGUAGCAGAAGUCAAUUUAUUGCACCAAUCGUUAAAUAAUGGCACUGAUUAUAAGGCUGCUAACUGCAGCAGCUGUAAUUGUCUGUCAUAAAUCUUUGUCGUCUGUGACAGCAGAACAAUUAAAUGAGCCAUCUGCUUCAGGGCAAAUGACUUUUGAUAAAUAUCAGUUCUGCUGAAAUGUACUUGGAUGUGUCUCAAUAUUUUGGAGAGCCAUUCAAGUUGCUUCCAUGAAUGUGAAGUUAUUAUUGGUUCGUAUUGAUUUUGCCACCCUUAUUUAACGCCAAUGUGAGUGACUCAAGGCUGAGAUGAAUAGUGUCUUCUCCUUAUCUGAUCAACUCUCUCCUCCUAAGUGCAUGUUCUAGUGAAAAAAUAAUUACAGUUCUUUUCAGAGAAGUCUGCAGAGAAAUGCAACCAACAGAACUCAAUAAGCCGUAGAUAUUUUUUUAAUAAAGCAAGUAUACAAGUGAAAAUGAAUUUCAGAAUCUGAAGUGCUUCUUUUAAAUUCAGUACUGUUAGAGUCAGUUCAAUAUGCUGUCAACUUUGCAAUUUGUCACUUUUUAACAGCUAUAUUUGUUCAGAAUAUUGGCUGUUACAGAAUUUGAUGACCAGAGUUGCAUUGUGAGAAAAGUGUUGAAUUCAAGAGGGUAAAAUAAAGGUCAUUACAUUUUGGAUCAGUCAAUGUAAUUAUAUUACUGAGGCCAAGAAAGGUCUUUUGAUCUCAUUUAAAUUUUAUGGUAAGAAAUUUGAAUCCUACAUUGCCAUUUUCUUGCUAAGGUAUGAUGGGCAUAGUUCCCCUUGGCCAGGUGUCAAUUUUUUUUGUGAUUGCUCUGAUAGAAAUGAGAUCACACAAGAAAUAAUGUUUUCUGAGACAGAAAACAAAAGAAAUGAAACAUUGU